CUUUGGGGUCUCCUGGCAGGACCGGCCGGACUUCGGUCUGCCCGGGGGAGGCUGCGGUUUGUCGGGGAGCUGGAGGACGGACGCUGCCGGCGGCAGGGCGACGAUCUACUCCGUGUUGGUGCGGAGGUGUCGAUUCUGCCUUCUGUUCUCUGUUGCAUCGUCCCGGAGCUGGAGAGCUUCAGCCGUCGCCUGCACUCACUCUGCGUUGGAGUUCUUGCUUCCCGCGGGCGAUCUCCGCAGCUGCCUGCAAUUCCGGCUCCCUAAUCAGGAUCUGGUGCUCCUCGGAAAGGGGAGGUUUUGUUUUCUUUUCUGUCUGGGUCUCGCCCUGGGAGUCGAGGGAUGAGCUUUCAGGGGUAGGACCUUGACGUGCAGCCUUCCCCCGGGAGGGAGGAGGUGGGUUUUGGACAAGGCGCCCGGGGCUCUCUGGGUGGGGCCGUGGCUGUGUCUGCGGGCCUGUGGGGUGGAGAAGUUCUGGGUUCCAGAAUUUCUCUUUUAAAAGGAUGUCACCUCCGUGGGCCUAAAGCCCGGCGUGCGGGGUGACCCUGGACACUUUGGGGUCCCCGAGCAGGGAUCUCCUUAUUCUGGCCCGUGGUGGUUUCUGGGAGUCGAGUUCGAGGAAUGAAGCUGGAAGACCGCCCCCCGUCUCCCACUAAUUCUAUUCCUCUUUGAAAAGGAGCGUUA